GCCGCCCCUUCGACCGUCUGUUAAAGUUUAGUAUCCCUCUUAUUCAAAGGUUUGAGAUAACGUCAUUAGUCGCUUCCUCUUGUUAUUUCGUCUUUGUUUUCGUCGGUGGACUCUUCUUUUCUGCAAAAAAGCUAAAUUCUUUGAAGCAAGAGCCAGACAAAGUUUUUUUUAUAACCAAAAAACAGUUAAGAGUUUUAUUUAUUUCUCUUAAUGGUGAUUUUAGAUUCGUCGAUGGUUUUACCAUGAUAAGACGCGGUGGAUAGAGGAUAGACGAGCUGCGGUUGGGCGAAAAAGAAUAGGCGGCGACGUACGAGGGUAUUCAUGAACACCCAAAAAAUAUAACACUGGUAUGCCUAGCUCUCAAUUCCUGCCGCGAGAAUUAAUUCAUCAGCAAAGACUCACUUAGGGUGUCGGUCUUGUCGAAUGUCUGAUGUUUUUGGGGUGUUCCCAAUCUGUCUUCACCGGUCGUUUUCAACAUUAUUAGUUUCAAUUGUUUCUUUUUGUUUCAAAGAAUGGAACCUCAUAAUUCGUAUUGACAUUCGAGAUAGGAAAAUGAACCACGAAGAACCAAAAUUAUAAAUCCCCACCAAGUAAAAACGGUUAACAACAGCGAAACAUAAAAAUGAACAAAGGUGGAUUCUUGAAUCAUGAUGAUAAUUAAGUAUAUAGAAUGUUAGUAGACUUGAAAACAAAACCAACGAUGGAGCCAGGGGAAUUUCGAAACGAAACAUAUUUUCAUUAGUGUUGUGUGCGCAUUGGGGAAGAUAGUACAAUAAGAGGGAAACCAAACUCGAGUUAAACGAAAGAAGAAACUAUUCGAGCUUCGACAUAGUAUGGCAUUUGCCUCAAUUUCAGACGCGGCUAUCACAAAAUCCUUUGCAUAUGACAUCAUUUUAGGGUAUACCAAGUCCCUCACAGCAUGUGUUCCUGCCAUCAAGAACAAUAUAUAACAAAUACUGAGUUCUUGAAUCUCAAUGCAUCUCUAACGUCCCAUUAGGAUUCAGAGCAUGAUAAGGUUAUGCAAAAAGCAAAUCACAAUCAGAGUAAAAGAGCAGACCCUGAUGUGCAAGAACUACCUGAACCAUGUGAUUAUUAGAAGUAAACUAAACACUUAAAUCAGAAAUACCUAAGAAUGAGAGAAAAACACUGAAGCAAGAGGCGUGGAUCUGGUGAAAGUGAAAUGGGGAAAACACCAGAACUGCAUGAUUAAGUAAAGGUGGAAUACAAAAGUCCAGACAACUUACUAAUAGGUAGGUAAGAACACAGUGAAAUAGCAGAGACCAACAUAAAAGUUUACUGAGUACAUUCUACCACCCCCAAAGUGCAUGUCACCCCAACUCCACAAUAAUAGAAAAUAGGUAUCAAAGCAAGGAAAGAUAAAACACCAGCAAUACUCUACAUGCAUACAUAACACAAGAGAUUAGGUAAAACAUUAUGCAGUUGGAACUGGACCUAAAAAGUUAAAACCCAGUCUUACAACACUGUUAUAUAUGCUCGUAAUAACCCACCAAGUGCAGAACUUGAUAAGAUAACACUGAUGAACAGAAGAACAUAGCGAAUAAUGAAUCAUUUGUUACAAAAAUUGAUAAGAUGUAGGUGUCGACCCUAAACUCAGAUUAGUAAAUCACAAUCAAGACAAUAUAAGCUGCUUAUUUUACAGGAGCUGAACCAGAAACCCAUAUCAAUAUACCACAACCUGAUACAAGGUGCACAUGGCCAUAGCGAGAAACAGAUCUGGUUGGGAUAUGGUACCCAGCUUCCGUGUAUGCUCGUAAAAGAAGUUCAGUGCGUACCGAAAUAUCCCGGAAAAACAUACUCGCAGCAGGAAAAGAAAACAGAAGAAAGUAUGAGAAAAAAGAGAGUGGCCGAUGAAACAGAGGGCACCACUGGAACUGGCAUGAAGAAAAGGGGACAGCUAUUAUAUAUGAGAAAAUUGAGGGGAAGACGAAAUAGAGAAGGGAGAAUGACCUAAAAGGAGAUAGGAGGACACCAGCCCAUAGGCAAGGAAACACAAAUAGGAAAUCAGUUGGCAGACAGGGGAAGCGGAAAAAGAAGGAAGGAAGCAAACCUCAAAGUCAGUCUAGGAGAUUCGCCAGAUUCCCAAGCGCAGAUGAAGAUGAUCGGGCGGGGUUUUCAGGUGAGAGAUCGUAGAGGAGCAUUUUGUGUUUGGUAGAAGAAAGAACCACAGUGAAUGGGAGGAAUAAAAGCACAGGUGAAUCAAAACUAAUUCAGGUCAUAGGAUAAAAUCGGAACUGGUGGAUAUGAGUACGGAUUUGAUAUAUUUAUUAUUUAUUUGUUUAUUCGUUAGAUUUUAUUUAUAAUUAUUUAUUCUGUCUAAAUGAGAAUAAUAGGAAAAUCAUCCCUUGUCCAUUUAUGGGUUUUGGGUUUAUCCAU
rnacentral:lncRNA from 1 species